CCACCCUGAACGCACCUGAUCUCGGAAGCUAAGCAGGGUUGG
rnacentral:rRNA from 1 species